AUUAAGUGUCUUUACUGCAAACAAGGGAGGGAGGAGGAGGGGGGGGCAGUAGGAGGAGGAGGUGAAGCGGAUAGCAGUGAGGGACAUCGGGACGAUUUCUUGUGUUGGCAUCGUGGAGGAGUGUACAACAAGGGGCGGUGUAUACGACGAGGGACAAGGUCGGGUCAUGCCGGCCAUCCCCUAAACAUGGAGCAAGCAAGUCUCGGGCGUCAGUCAGGAGGUGGAGCACGACCCGCCACAAAUCUGGCACAGGCGUCCCUACAACUGCGCAACUGCGCAUUACCAACUUCGUGGAGGCGCAUGUGUUUCACUCUCUUCAGAAGAUGACGCAGACCGAGGAGGCGUGUGGUUCGGCACAGGUAUGGGCCGGGCCGUUUCACCGCCUCCAUGAGGCGUACAGGCUAUCAGGAACUGUUCUGUCCAGGGUCUCUUUUUUAACCCUGGUUCUGUCUUGGUGUUAAAAGGUAAUAUAACGGUGUUACAAGCAAAA
rnacentral:misc_RNA from 1 species